CUGCGUUUGGGAAGGAUACUUAAGAAUUACUUCAAAAAUGACACGUGAACCUAGACGUGGAGAUAUGAUAAGAGUUUAAAAGAGGGUUAUACUCCCACUUUGGUGUAUACGUUGGUAAUGAUAACGUCAUUCAUCUCAUUUGGGAUAAGGGGUGGAGUUCAAGCAGUACUAGCAAGCCAGAGGUGAAAGAAGAGCUACUUGAGGACGUCGCGAGGGGUUCGCAUUACGAAGUUAAUAACACGAGAGAAAGCGAGCUAAAAGCAUUGGAUGGACAGACGAUUAUUGACAUUGCAAAAAUGUGUAUUGGUCCAGUAAAAUACCACCCAGCCAAAUUCAACUGCGAAACAUUUGCAAGCGUCUGUAGAUAUGGAAGAGGAAGGAGUAAACAGGCUGAUAGAAUCUGCAGAAUUGCCUCCGUAACUACAGAUGAAUUGAUGACAAAGUGGAGGAAGAAACCGAAGAGGAGGAAGAUAGCAUAGAUGAUUAAUUUGAAGAAGAUAAAAAGAUAACAAGCAAUUGUUACCAUUAACAUUAACCUUAACAUGGAUGUGGGGCCCGAUCGGGUUCAUCCCAUACAGACUUUAUAUUAUGAGACAUUUCAGUUACGUUUUACAAGUUAUUUUGUGUAAAAACUUCUUAAUUUUGAUUUUUGGUUUAACUAGGUUUGCUUAGCUAAUUUACAUGAAAUGAACCAGCGCCAAAAACAAAGAAUACAAUUCUGAGACCACUUAAACUGAAUGAAAUGAUAUAAUUAAUUGUCACCAAUGAAAUAACGGUUUUAUCUUUUGAAACAUUACAAGAAUGACAGAAUGUACAAAAUAUUUCUUUAAAACAUAUUUCAAACUGUACAGACAAGGACUAAAUUCUACUAUGUGGUGGAAUAUUCCUGGAUAUGCUGAAACAUUAAGAGAAACACGAAGAGAAACUAUGCAUCAAUAAAACAAAAAAUACAAAUAAGUUUGAAUAUCAAUUGGAUUAGGUAUAAAAGGCUAUGAUAAAGGCAUGACAUGUCUUUGUUAAAAGUCAAAACUCUAGCAAGAGACUUGAGAGCAUGA
rnacentral:misc_RNA from 1 species